rnacentral:rRNA from 1 species
GACGAACGCUGGCGGCGUGCUUAACACAUGCAAGUCGAACGGAAAGGCCCUGCUUUUGUGGGGUGCUCGAGUGGCGCACGGGUGAGUAACACGUGAGUAACCUGCCCUUGACUUUGGGAUAACUUCAGGAAACUGGGGCUAAUACCGGAUAGGAGCUCCUGCUGCAUGGUGGGGGUUGGAAAGUUUCGGCGGUUGGGGAUGGACUCGCGGCUUAUCAGCUUGUUGGUGGGGUAGUGGCUUACCAAGGCUUUGACGGGUAGCCGGCCUGAGAGGGUGACCGGCCACAUUGGGACUGAGAUACGGCCCAGACUCCUACGGGAGGCAGCAGUGGGGAAUAUUGCACAAUGGGCGGAAGCCUGAUGCAGCAACGCCGCGUGCGGGAUGACGUCCUUCGGGUUGUAAACCGCUUUCGCCUGUGACGAAGCGUGAGUGACGGUAAUGGGUAAAGAAGCACCGGCUAACUACGUG